rnacentral:lncRNA from 1 species
GUUGAAGAUCCAAAAGGAGGAUGAAGAUCAGUUGCAGAAAAUGUCCCUAUCAAAGCAUGAAAUCAAUCAAAAAGGAUAAAAGGAACUGCUAUUAGCUAUAGUUAGAAUAGAAGAAGCACCUACUCAUGUUUUAUUAUCAAACACAAAUAAAAGACCAAACACAGAUAAUAAAACUUUUUAUAUAAUAUUAGCUAAACCACUCUAACCCUACAUCCUUUGUCUGUCACAGAACCAUCAAAAAUUUUCAUCCUUUGUCCCUUGAGACAGGCGAUUCAUUCAAUCAGAACAGAAAUUAAAAAGCAUCGCACUGUACAAGAUAUAUAUAUAUAUAUAUAUAUAUAUAUGUAUAUAUAUGUAUAUGCAUAUAUAUAUGUAUUAUAUAUAUACAUAUAUAUAUAUAUAUAUAUAUCGAUGAAGACCAACUACAGGUAGAGGAACCGAUUGAUGAGUCAUUUGAAAUGGUGCAAUGUUCAUCUUAUCUUCUACCAAGCAGCCCUCAGCACACCUUCACUACUAACAUUAA